ACAACAGUCAUCUGAUUGCUCGAUCAGUUCUUCAAGCCUUUGAAUUGUUGAAGAUUGAAGAGAUGCACUAUUAUCUCCUGGAGUAUUUUCUGAUCUGGAUAGAAAUAGGGAAAAAAAAGCCAAAUGAUGCAAGUCCCUAUUUGACCUCAGAAGAGCAGGACUCCAGGCAAGCAGCCUGCCUCUGUCUACCAUUUUACCAUCCAGCAGAUAGCAGCAGUAAGAGCUCGAUCCAAGUCAGUGGUCUGGCCCUCACCUACACUGUGAACUACUGGAAUCUUGGAACUUCUGUACCUGUGCCUUCAAGACUAAUUAUCUCUACAUGUCUUCUUCCGUCGUGGAAGUCUUUGCUUCUGGAAUGCUGGAUCACCCUGCAACAGUUUCAGCCUGCUAGGCCUCUGAAGGAAUAUACCACUGGACUUUUGAUUCUGGACUGUGGACUCAUGUGAAACCAUAACUGUUAUUUUUUUCGUGGUCUUGCCCUGGACCCCUUUCUUUCCCGUAUCCCUCUUUUAUUGUAUGAGUGUAAAAGGGGUGGACAUUGCGAAACCCCUUUCCCACGUUUUGUGUGUGUGUAAAAUAAACCAACCUUUUUACUUUA